rnacentral:lncRNA from 1 species
UUGGUCAUUAUUGCUCACAUUAGAUUCAAUUUCAUCUUGCAAUGAAGGGUUGGAAAUUGUUACCUCAUUCUCAAGAUUUGGGUUGGAGUCUCGAACUUGUACAGAUUCAGGGAUGACCAUCUUCUUCAUAGAAAAACACCUUGCCCUUGCCAAAUCUUACAUUUUCAAGAGCAGAGUCUGUCUUUUCUUGGGGAUUUUCAGG